GAAGAAUUUGAAACGAGACUUUCUUCACCGGGCAACUUAGUUACGGCCUUCUGCUGAUUGGUUAGCAAUUAAUCCAUAAACAUUCUCUUUGUACGCAAUGUUAGAACUCUGGCUAAGAAACAAAGUGCUGGUUAAUUCCCUUUUCUCAAGAUGCUUUUUAUUUUAUUUUAAUUGUGACAACUAGAAUGAUAAUUAUGAGAUUUUUUCAGGAAGUGCGCGCAAACGAUAUAGUAGUAUCCAAUGUGUCACACUAGCUUCCAACAGAGUUCAACAAAUUAUGAGUAAUUUUUUUUUUCUUUAAGAGCUAUAUGACUUAUCUAAAAGCUUCUUUUGUUGAUAAGGUAGGCUUGAAAUAGUGACCUUCCAUAUUUAAGAACAAUUCCUCAAUGUUUUGUUUAUCUUUGUGUUGCCAGCAAGCGAGACACAUAGUGAUAGCCGACAUGCCAAUGUUGGAACCUCCAUUAAAAUGGACAUAAACGCAGGAUACAGUAAUAUUGUACAUUUAUCUCUUUAGUUUUCUAUUUCCUAUUGUCUGUUUCUUUUACUUACAUAUAUUUAUAGGUAUCCUCUCUUUCUAUCUUCAAUUGUGAUGAGGACACAUGGAGCAAGAAAAAAAAGUGAAGCAGUGAAAAGAACCCCUAGAAAGCAGUUGCGAUCAGCUUCGCUCUUGAUACUCUGAGAUGUAGCAAAUGGUGAACAAAACAAGUGUAAUUUCUGUCAUUGACAAAAUAUGGGAUGGUGUCGGUCAUUUGCCGAUUGGGUUGUUCCUGAUGACAUUUGUUACUCUGUACUUCAACUAUCAUCUUAAGAUUCAUAAGUUUCUGUCAUUUGCAGGUCCUUUGUCAAAAGAGCCAGAUAUAGAGGAUGAUUCACUACUAACGAUGUGAAAUUGGAUAGGUAAAUCUGUCAAGAAGAGAAUAGAGAAACUUCUCACAACGAUUUGACAUCCAGCUCAAAAAUUCUUAUAGGUUCCAAUUGCUUCCCCGUUUUAUCUUUUAAGAUACUAAUGCUUCCAAUAACAUCUGAAAGCAUAUAUAGCAAAUUUUAUUGGGGCGAAGUUAUAAUCGCAAAUCAUAAAUUUUUUGAAUCUGUUGGAUUUUCAUUCUAAGGUUUUCUUCUCCAUGGUUGAACAAGUAGUGCAUAAAAUGAAAAAUAAAGAAGGUUUCUUCUGCCCGCACAACCUUGAUUAUCGUGGUCGUCCAUACUCCAUGCAUCCAAUUAAACUAUCUUGGUUCUAAAAACUGUCAGGGUGUCCUAGAGUUUGUAUAGGGCAGUCUGAAGAUAUAUUUAAAUUGGAAAUAUAUUUGUUGGUCAUGUGGACAAAUCAUUAAUUGAGGGUGAAAUAGUUUUUAUUGAAUGAUUUAAUUAUUUCUAUUGGAAAAAUUACUCGAAGGAAGGACUGGUGGUUUAAUGUAGAAGAUCCCUUACAACACCUUGCUGAUGCAUUUGUCUUAGGGAAGCUGUGAGAAGCUCAUCUCUAGAUACGACUAUUUCUCAUAUUUCAAUGCACCCGGUAGAGUCGUGCACAUUUUAAUUUUUUGCUGGUGUUCGACUCCCAUUUCAAAAUACAAGUUCUGAAAAGCAUGUCCGAAUGAUUAGAAGGGAGCACGUUAUCUUAUGUGGAAGUGGCUGACAUAUGUGGUUUCUAUUAAAUUAGUUUUUCAGCAUGAUUAUAUUAGCAAUAUUUUAGUCGGAGUUUACGUUCCUCACCAAUUGAUAGGCCAUGUAUUUCAAAAUUUUUGGGAUUGAAUCCAUGACAGCUAGCAGAUUUUUCUU